UGUUGCUGCAAAUGGUAUUAUUUUAUUCUUUUUAUGGUUGAGUAGGAUUCCAUUGCAUAAAUACACCACAACUUCUUUAUCCAGUCAUCUGUCCAUGGACAUUUAGGUUGUUUCCUUCAUUCUUAAUCAAGAGGAUUUCAUGUCUCCCUCUAACAACUGUCCUCAUGCUCUUCGCACAUUUGACCUACAAAGUGUGGCUGACAGACAAGAAGGCUGGCUGACUGAGAAUUUAAAACGAGUGUUUCAGUUCCCAGGAGUAUGUGAGCUCUUUCUUCAUCAACCUGACCAUGCUUGGAGGUAUGAUAAUGAACGACAGCAAACCAACAACCAGAACAGAGGUCUGCUAUGAACAUAAACGUCAUGAUAGUGAGAUGUAUCUCCCAGAGAGCAGGAUGUAACAUUAAUGAAGAUAAUUAGCAUUGAUGAAUACAAGAUUUCAGAGAGGACUCAACAUGGCAAUGGGAGGAACUCCACUCUCAGUUUGAAGACUGGGUUUUCCAUCAAAAGCAGUCCCUUGGUUUCAUUAGAAUGAAAGGAAGCUGAGCCCUGGGCAGGAACUCAGGGAUGUGGGAAGAAAGCAAGAUACCCCUGUAGCAGGAAAGGUGACCGUGCUCACGUAAGAGCACCAGCUACUGCUCCGAGGGAGUUUUCCAGAGCUGCUGUGACUAAGCACCACGAACUGGAUUUUCCAGGCUCAUUGUUCUGGAGGUCAGAAGUCCGAAGUCAAGGUGUCGGCUAGGCCCUGCUCCCUCUGAAGGCUGGAGGGGAGGAUCCCUCUUUGUUUCUUUCCUAGUUCUGGCAGAAGCCAGCCAUCUUUGGCAUUUCUUGGUCUGAAGAUGCAUCACUCCAAUCUCUGCCUCCUUUGUCAUGUGGUUUUCCCUUUGUCUUCACAUUUCUUCACUCUAUGUAUGUGUCUGUGUCUAAAUUUUUCUCUUCUAAGGAUACCACUCAUUGGAUUAGGGUCCACCCUUAUCCGGUACGACCUUAUCUUACCUAAUUACAUCUGCAAAACAGGUCACAUUCUGAAGGUCCCAAAAUGUUGUCGUGAGAGAAUGCUAGAGGUCUUUUGAUCACCCUCUCUCUGCGAUAUUCACUCACCGUUAUGUCCCAUGAUCUAGUGUGAUUUUACAUAUAUAUGUAUUUCAGGGGAUAAACAAAUAUUAACAAAAUUUAGCAUUUUUAGCUUUCACCACUUCCUAGAGUUCCACAGCACCUUUUUUUUGGAUUCACUUUAAGUAGAUAUUUAGGAUGCCAGCUUUCAGGAACAUAUACUCUGAGCAUAUAAAUUCCCUGUGCUAUAAUAAAAUACAGCGAAAAUUUAUAUACUUAAUAUUUAAAUAAGUAAUUACAAAAAAAUCAAGAUAUAUGCCCAACCAAGCACCAGAAAAGACCAAACACUUAGUCUGGGUAGGUAUACCAGUGAUCAGCGUGUGUGUGGAUCCUAACAAUGGAAUAGUCACCAUCAGCAGGACAAACAUACUCUGUAGUGGAUUUGUCCCCAUAAUUCCUGACAUCUGAAGCAGCUCUUAAUUCCUUCCUCAUUUGCUUAUUUUUCUUCUUGGUGGCAUACACACCCUCUUUGUCAUACUCAAUAUCCAGCUUCCCUAAUCACAAGAAUAAAGAACAAGGAAAACUUCACAUUACAUCGAAGUUUGUCACCCUGUCUGCUAUUUUCCUUGC